CGAUGUCGGCUCAUCGCAUCCUGGGGCUGUAGCAGGUCCCAAGGGUAUGGCUGUUCGCCAUUUAAAGCGGUACGCGAGCUGGGUUUAGAACGUCGUGAGACAGUUCGGUCCCUAUCCACCGUGGGCGUAAGAGACUUGAGAGAAGCUGUCCCUAGUACGAGAGGACCGGGAUGGACGAACCUCUGGUGUACCAGUUGUCACGCCAGUGGCACCGCUGGUUAGCUACGUUCGGUUUGGAUAACCGCUGAAAGCAUCUAAGCGGGAAGCCAAUCUCAAGAUGAGGUCUCUCACUGGGUUAACCAGGUAAGGCCCCUCGUAGACUACGAGGUUGAUAGGCUGCAGGUGUAAGCGCAGCAAUGUGUUCAGCCGAGCAGUACUAAUAGGCCGAGGUCUUGAUCUC
rnacentral:rRNA from 1 species